UUUCCAACUGCUAAAUGAAAGAGCCUUGAGAAGCACCCUGCGUUUGUAUAUGGCUAUUGAGACACAGACUGAAGUAUUUUGGGGUGAAAGGCCAUAAUAUCUACUUCUUUCAAGUGGUUCAAAGACAACAACAAAAGCAUGUAAAUUGAAAAUGAACUUUAACGAAAAAACAUUUUUCUGAAACUACUCUCCAGAGAAAAGGCAAUGAAAGAGGUCUGAGUUCCAAGGGGAGGAAUGAUUUCACUGAACUGGAAGUUAAAACUGCUGCCCAACCAUGGUGGACUCCUUGUGUCUCUGAAAUAACAGGCGAAGAGGGGAGUUACUGUGCUGGCUGGAGUGACUGAUCCUGACUACAAGGGGAAAUUGCACUGCUACUCCACAAUGGAGAUUGAUGGGUGCUUGCUCAUCGUGGUUGCUCAGG
rnacentral:lncRNA from 1 species